GCGGGCGUAGCUCAACGGAUAGAGCAUCUGACUACGGAUCAGAAGGUUGGGGGUUCGAAUCCCUUCGCCCGCACGA
rnacentral:tRNA from 1 species